rnacentral:tRNA from 1 species
AGGUUUAAACUCUAAAAAUGAUAUUUAAGUAUCCUAUAUUA